rnacentral:rRNA from 1 species
CCUACGGGAGGCAGCAGUGAGGAAUAUUGGUCAAUGGGCGAGAGCCUGAACCAGCCAAGUCGCGUGAGGGAAGACGGUCCUAUGGAUUGUAAACCUCUUUUGUCGGGGAGCAAAAAGGCCUCGUGAGGCCACAAGUGAGAGUACCCGAAGAAAAAGCAUCGGCUAACUCCGUGCAAGAAGCCGCGUUAAUACGGAGGAUGCGAGCGUUAUCCGGAUUGAUUGGGUUUAAAGGGUGCGUAGGCGGACUGGAAAGUCAGCGGUAAAAUCUAGAGGCUCAACCUCUUUCCGCCGUUGAAACUGGCGGUCGUGAGUGGGCGAGAAGUAGGCGGAAUGCGUGGUGUAGCGGUGAAAUGCAUAGAUAUCACGCAGAACUCCGAUUGCGAAGGCAGCAUACCGGCGCCCGACUGACGCUGAGGCACGAAAGCGUGGGUAUCGAACAGGAUUAGAUACCCGAGUAGUC